AUUGAACGCUGGCGGCAGGCCUAACACAUGCAAGUCGUGCGGAUGAAGGGAGCUUGCUCCUGGAUUCAGCGGCGGACGGGUGAGUAAUGCCUAGGAAUCUGCCUGGUAGUGGGGGAUAACGUCCGGAAACGGGCGCUAAUACCGCAUACGUCCUGAGGGAGAAAGUGGGGGAUCUUCGGACCUCACGCUAUCAGAUGAGCCUAGGUCGGAUUAGCUAGUUGGCGGGGUAAAGGCCUACCAAGGCGACGAUCCGUAACUGGUCUGAGAGGAUGAUCAGUCACACUGGAACUGAGACACGGUCCAGACUCCUACGGGAGGCAGCAGUGGGGAAUAUUGGACAAUGGGCGAAAGCCUGAUCCAGCCAUGCCGCGUGUGUGAAGAAGGUCUUCGGAUUGUAAAGCACUUUAAGUUGGGAGGAAGGGCAGUAAGUUAAUACCUUGCUGUUUUGACGUUACCAACAGAAUAAGCACCGGCUAACUUCGUG
rnacentral:rRNA from 1 species